AAUAUUGCACAAUGGAGGGAACUCUGAUGCAGCAACGCCGCGUGAGUGAAGAAGGUUUUCGGAUCGUAAUACUCUGUCAUUGGGGAAGAAUAAAUGACGGUACCCAAUGAGGAAGCCCCGGCUAACUACGUGCCAGCAGCCGCGGUAAUACGUAGAGGGGAAGCGUUGUCCGGAAGGACUGGGCGUAAAGGGUACGCAGGCGGAUAAGUAAGUCAAAUGUGAAAGGCACCGGCUCAACCGGUGAGCUGCAUUUGAAACUGCCUAUCUUGAGUUCAGGAGAGGAGAGCGGAAUUCCUGGUGUAGCGGUGGAAUGCGUAGAUAUCAGGAAGAACACCAGUGGCGAAGGCGGCUCUCUGGCCUGAAACUGACGCUCAUGUACGAAAGCUGGGGGAGCGAACG
rnacentral:rRNA from 1 species